CCUACAAACCAUAACUAAAUUUAAUCAGAACAUAACUGAAUGCCCCAACUACUUUGCCUUGGGAUCCACACAUAACUACAAAAUAGAAAACUGAAUAACAUAAUUGACACAAAAUUCCACAACAAAUCCCUAAUUGAAUUUUCUAAUUGUAUCAAUCUCUCUAACCACCUAUAAAUAGCAAAGUCCAAUCAUUGGAAUCCUCCCCAUUCAUUUUUGCAUCCAAAAUUGAUUCCAAUCUUCAAUCAUUACAGAAAAUAUCUACAAUCACUUUUCAUCACUCACCCCCAAAAAACCACCUUCAUCAUUCUGAACCAAAACUUCAUUAAUCCGCACAUUCAAACUUCAUCACCCUAACCUAAACAACUUCAUCUCCAUCAUCAACAUAUCAAUCAACAUCAGAAUCUCAUCAUCAACAACACCUUACAUCACUCAAUUCUCAUGUAACAUCGCAUUUAGAAAAACCAAAUAAAAAAAUCAAGAAGAGACGAAGAGAGUGGGAGAAUUAAGUUAAAGCAUGGAAGAAUCAGAAUCAUUACCUGGAAAUAAGAGUUCACCUGCGUUCAUCAUCACCUUCGAAAUCUCUGGUACGGAUCGGCAUUGGGUGAAAUUUAUGGCAUAUUUGAGACGAGGAGGUUGGGACGAGUCUAGUGGUGGUUGAAAUUUUCGGUUCCGGUGGCCACCGCAGCCGGAAGCGAAUUCCUAUCCCUGCUCUAGUGUCUGAUGUGUAUUACUGCUUACACACUAGGCACAAAAAGAAGAAAUAUCUGAUUUUAAGUUGUGUUUCACUAUUUUACACAUGGAUUCUACGCCACAUGCCUCAAAAGGGGCCAUGGGUAGACUUUGUGAAAGACUUGAGGUGGUCUCAAAAGUUUUCUUCCCUCACUGUUGAUUCCAUGGUUUUCUUCUUACCCGAUUUAGGAACAGAGAACCCAAAUCUGUUGCAGAAGAUCAAACAAGCUUGGACUCUCAUUCAUCGCAAAGACAAUUUUUCCAUAACUAAGUGAUAUUAUAUGUGUCAAUCUUUAAAUUUUCUCUAGUAAUUUACUUGUGUUUUGUGUGUAUUAACCACUAUAUACAAAUUAUUUGCAACCACAUAAACAACCAAACGGAUAUGCACAAUAUAUGUUGGAUAUUGUCUCUGGUGGAGGACUUGAUGGAUUAAGAUGAUCCUUUUAUUCAUGUGCAUGUAAUUUAUUUAUGUUAGUUGUUAGUUAUGGUUGUUGUUGUUAGCUUGUAAAAUGUUUACAUUGUUGUUGUGAAGAUUGAAAGUUAAGUGUUGUUGUUGUACUAACUUAAUUUAAAUUUUGUUCAUAUUAUAUGUGUAUAAUGAUGUGACAUUAUUAACACAAGAAAAUAUAUAUGACAUAUGUUUACAUUGGACUGA